AGGUCAUAGUCCAUGCUGCCCUGCUCACAUCACCGCAAGAAGGCGAGGAGAGCGAGGGGAGAGUGGGAGUGAGGGGGCCAAAGAGACAACUUACACAGACACUUGUGUACAUGUUUAUUUAUCACCAUAUCCGCUGUGGAUGCAAGGGUCAGAGAGAUCUUCCAAAUCAGAGCUGCCUUUUGGCACAUGUCAGGAGGACGUGCAAACUGACAGUUCUACACACGGCUGCAGGAUCAGUGGUUGGGCUGCAAAGACAGACGAUGGAUGGACGAGAAUUCUCCGUCCAAUGUGUGUGUUUCAAAUAAAUAAAAAUACUACACGUAUUUGUCUAUUGA